rnacentral:tRNA from 1 species
UCUUCAGGAGCAAGGUGGGCAGAGCAAAGGACUGAAAAUCCUUGUGUCAGUGGUUCGAAUCCAGCUCGUGACAA